UAUUCCUAAUACUAUUGGAACCUAUAGCAGCCCAAAGUGCUCCAGAAUAAAGCUAGAGAUCACGAAGGGCAUAGAAGAAGGCCUUUGCUUAUUGAAAUAGGCUCCAUCACACAUGCUUGCUUACUUCAUUGGCCAAAGUUCAUCUCUGAAUAUCUGCGUGGCUUAUUCUGUCGCUGUCCAACAUCAUCACUUUCAAGUUCAUUCGGUGAAGGCUUUGCCUCGUUACUGGAUUUGUUUGUGUUAUUUUCUUUGCUCAACGUUCCCGCAGAUGAUGUCUGCCCUGAGGAUCGAGCAUGAUAA
rnacentral:misc_RNA from 1 species